AAUAAAUACUUCAUAGUUGCAACAGUUACCUCGAGGACACACAAAGACUUAGACAUACACACACACACACUCACACACAAACAAGAACAAAGAGAGGAAUACAAAACUCUGAGGUUUACACACACACUGAUCAUUCCCACAAUAAAUCUCUUAGUUAAAUUGGGAAAGGCACAAAUCUUAAGAAACAAACCAUGUGGCUGCAUAGGAGACAAAGAAAGAGACACAGAAACAAACAAACAAACAAACAAACAAAAAAUCCCAUGUAAUCCUGUUUAUAUAUUGCCCUUUUCUUUCAUUUUUCUUUUCUUUUUUAAGUACCUUUAUUUAGCCACAUUGGUCUUCCUGUAUCCCUCAGCAAAGCUCAUUCUCUA